UAUGGCUGUGUUCUUCUCAAUCCCCAGUCAAGAGAGCUGCCUUAUAUGACUGUCCUGAGGUCAGCCAUGUGACCAAGUCUUCCACAUUGAAAUCACUCACUCUGGGGGAAGCCAGGUGCUAUGUUGUGAGAACACUCAAGCAGCUCAAUGGCGAGGUCCAUGUGGCAAGGAACUGAAGCCACCUGCCAAUGGCCAACAGGAAACAAGUGCCUUAUGUCAACAGCCAUGUGAGUGAACCAUCUUGAAAACAGAUUCUUUAGCCCCAUUCUUCAGAUGGCAGCAACCCUAGCUCACUUUUUACUGCAACAUCAUAAGACACCCUGAGCAGUCAUCCAACUAAACCACUCUUGAAUGCCUGACCCACACAAACUGUGAGAUAACAAAUAGUUGUGUUACAUUGCUAAAUUAUGAGGUAAUUGGUUACACAGCAAUAAAUAAUUCAACUAGG
rnacentral:lncRNA from 1 species